rnacentral:rRNA from 1 species
AGUGAACGCUGGCGGUAGGCCUAACACAUGCCAGUCGAACGGCAGCACAGUAAGAGCUUGCUCUUACGGGUGGCGAGUGGCGGACGGGUGAGGAAUACAUCGGAAUCUACUUUUUCGUGGGGGAUAACGUAGGGAAACUUACGCUAAUACCGCAUACGACCUACGGGUGAAAGCAGGGGAUCUUCGGACCUUGCGCGAUUGAAUGAGCCGAUGUCGGAUUAGCUAGUUGGCGGGGUAAAGGCCCACCAAGGCGACGAUCCGUAGCUGGUCUGAGAGGAUGAUCAGCCACACUGGAACUGAGACACGGUCCAGACUCCUACGGGAGGCAGCAGUGGGGAAUAUUGGACAAUGGGCGCAAGCCUGAUCCAGCCAUACCGCGUGGGUGAAGAAGGCCUUCGGGUUGUAAAGCCCUUAUGUUGGGAAAGAAAAGCAGCAGGUUAAUACCCCGCUGUUCUGACGGUACCCAAAGAAUAAGCACCGGCUAACUUCGUG